rnacentral:rRNA from 1 species
CCCUUAGAUGUUCUGGGCCGCACGCGCGCUACACUGAAUGGAUCAACGUGUUUUCCCUUCCCGAGAGGGACGGGUAACCCGCUGAACCCCAUUCGUGGUAGGGAUCGGAGCUUGCAAUUGUUCUCCGUGAACCAGGAAUUCCCAGUAAGCGCAAGUCAUAAGCUUGCGUUGAUUACGUCCCUGCCCUUUGUACACACCGCCCGUCGCACCUACCGAUUGAAUGGUCCGGUGAAAUCUCGGGACGGCGGCUUGGUCGCUUGCGUCCGACUGCUGAAACUUGAUUAAACCAUNUNAUUUAGNGGAAGGUGAANUCGUANCA